rnacentral:rRNA from 1 species
UACGUAGGCAGCAAGCGUUGUUCGGAGUUACUGGGCGUAAAGGGUGUGUAGGCGGUUGUUUAAGUUUGGUGUGAAAUCUCCCGGCUCAACCGGGAGGGUGCGCCGAAUACUGAAUAACUAGAGUGCGGGAGAGGAAAGUGGAAUUCCUGGUGUAGCGGUAAAAUGCGUAGAUAUCAGGAGGAACACCGGUGGUGUAGACGGCUUUCUGGACCGUAACUGACGCUGAGACACGAAAGCGUGGGUAGCAAACAGG